GCCCCCAAACUGAUAGCUCAGUCAGUAGAGCACGAGUCUCUUAAACUCAGUGUUGUGGGUUCGAGCCCCACAUUGGGCA
rnacentral:tRNA from 1 species